rnacentral:rRNA from 1 species
CAGUCCCACCUCUCGUAGGACCCAUUCGAUUUUCUUUCCCCCAUCCCGGUUUUCUCCCUCUGGCCUGCUCCUCACGCCGGCGUUCCGCGCCGCCGCUGCCGACUGCUCCUCACGCCGGCAUCCCGCGCCGCCGUUGCCGACCUCCAGCCGUCGUCCAGUAACCGCUCCUGCGCGCCCUAUCUCUCUUCUUCUCCCUUCUCCCUUCCUUUUCUCUCUCUCUCUCUCUCAAAUCUUGUAUCUCUCUGUUUCAGAAACAACGGCAGCAUGGAUCCUGAUGUGGAGCUCCACUACGGCCCGAUCUGACCUAGGAGCGACCAGAUCCGUGCGUCUCCGCCUCGCUUCACGCGCCUCCAUGGUCCGCCGUCUUCCCGAGCGCCGGCGCCGCGCUCAGCCGCCGCCGUCCCAUGCCAUGGUAGCCUCCCCUCCAGAACGAUGUGUCAUGGCCGCCUCCCUGCCUCUCCCGCAGAGUUAACUCCCACCCGUACAUGAGCCCCAAGGCACCACGCGAUUCUGAUGAUACACGAACACUGGGUCGGUCCUCUAUCCGGCAGCUCCGUUGGGGAAGCACCAAG